GGAAGGUGCAAGCGUUGCUCGGAAUCAUUGGGCGUAAAGGGUGCGUAGGCGGCUUGGUAAGUCGGGUGUGAAAGCCCUGGGCUCAGCCCGGGAAGGGCACUCGAAACUGCCGAGCUGGAGUGCCGGAGGGGAGAGUGGAAUUCCUGGUGUAGCGGUGAAAUGCGUAGAGAUCAGGAGGAAUACCGGUGGCGAAAGCGACUCUCUGGACGGCAACUGACGCUGAGGCACGAAAACGUGGGGAGCAAACAGGAUUAGAUACCCUGGUAGUCCACGCCGUAAACGAUGGGCACUAGGUGUCGGGGGUAACCACUCCCUCGGUGCCGCCGCUAACGCAUUAAGUGUCCCGCCUGGGAAGUACGGUCGCAAGAUUA
rnacentral:rRNA from 1 species